rnacentral:rRNA from 1 species
UACGUAGGGUGCAAGCGUUAAUCGGAAUUACUGGGCGUAAAGCGUGCGCAGGCGGUUGGGCAAGACAGAUGUGAAAUCCCCCGGGCUUAACCUGGGAAUGGCAUUUGUGACUGUUCGGCUAGAGUGUGUCAGAGGGGGGGUAGGAAUUCCACGUGUAGCAGUGAAAUGCGUAGAGAUGUGGAGGAAUACCGAUGGCGAAGGCAGCCCCCUGGGAUAACACUGACGCUCAUGCACGAAAGCGUGGGGAGCAAACAGG